UUAGCUCUCUUUGCCUUUUGGCUUAGAUCAAGUGUAGUAUCUGUUCUUUUAAGUUUAAAAACUUAAACACCGCUACGGCGGUAUUUUGAUUUUAAAUCCAUUUUUGCAAUCGGUCUUGGAGUCACUGGGCUUGCUUAUACUCCAGGACACAGUGUCCCCUGUAUUGUACCAUCUCAGGGCGACGCGAAGCAUU
rnacentral:snRNA from 1 species